GGGGAGGCCAGUUUAUUUGGCCCAUGCAUAGAGAAUAUCUUUGAUACUGAAUCUCUCCCCUCUCUCUUUUUGCAGCAAUGACACAGAGCUCUGGCGGCUCCACCAAGGCAUGAGAUCCUCUUGGUGUAUAAGAUGGGACUAGAAGAUGCCUGCUGAAAUUUUGCUUCGGAUUUUGUAUGCAAGGAACUUCUUUCUGCUGCUUGUUGGGCUUCCUAACCCAAGCCCUGGUCCAGACAUUCUGAUUCCAGUGAAUUGAUUUUAGGGAAAAUUUCCUUUCUGACACAUUUGAAGCUGAUACUUUUUUUGACUGAUUUGUAAAAUAUUUACUUUGGUCCAAAAUGUGCCUAACAUCUGCAACUAAAGUCAUAAAUGUUAAAAAGAAUUAGAAUCAUCACGUCUCAAGCUUAGCUAAAUAGGAUCUGCAGCGAUUUUGAUAGGUUUCUUCACUCCCCACAAUUUCUCUCCAGCAUUAUGCUUCCUGGUUACCCUAGCUGCGCUAAAGACAUCUUUUGGGACUUGUUAUAGUGAGUUGUAAAUUAAAUAGACUAAAUUGUU